rnacentral:rRNA from 1 species
GGAAGACACGGAGCCGCAGCGAAAGCGAGUCUGAAAAGGGCGACAGUUAGUGUACGUAGACCCGAAACUGCAGUGAUCUACCCAUGUCCAGGUUGAAGCGCAGGUAAAAUUGCGUGGAGGACCGAACCCGUGAACGUUGAAAAGUUUUGGGAUGAGAUGUGGGUAGCGGUGAAAUUCCAAUCGAACGCAGAGAUAGCUGGUUCUCCUCGAAAUAGCUUUAGGGCUAGCCUCAGGUAGUAAGUAUAGGCGGUAGAGCACUGAUCGGGCUAGGGGGCGUAAAGUCUACCGAACCCUGUCAAACUCCGAAUGGUUAUACUGCAAAGCCUGGGAGUCAGACUACGGGUGAUAAGAUUCGUGGUCAAAAGGGAAACAGCCCAGACCACCAGCUAAGGUCCCAAAUGCCGUACUAAGUGGCAAAGGAUGUGGGGUUACAUAAACAACCAGGAUGUUGGCUUAGAAGCAGCCACCAUUUAAAGAGUGCGUAAUAGCUCACUGGUCGAGUGACCCUGCGCCGAAGAUUCCCGGGGCUAAAGUACGGAACCGAAGCUGUGGAUGCAUUGCUUGAGCAAUGCGUGGUAGAGGAGCGUUCCCAUCGGGUUGAAGUCGUUCUGUAAGGAACGGUGGACUGGUGGGAAGUGAGAAUGUUGGCAUGAGUAGCGAAAAGAAAGGUGAGAAUCCUUUCCACCGAAAGCAUAAGGAUUCCUGAGCAACGCUCGUCGUCUCAGGGUAAGUCGGGGCCUAAUCCGAGGCAUAAAGCGUAGGAGAUGGACAACUGGUUGAUAUUCCAGUACCGGUAAUGUUUGUUUGAGCAAUGGAGUGACACAGAAGGGCAGGCAAUCACGAGAUUGGUAGUUCGUGUGCAAGCAUGUAGGGUGGAGCGUAGGCAAAUCCGCGCUUCUGAGCCUGAGGUGUGAUGCGGAGGCAAGAAAUUGCCGAAGUUGCUGACCCCACGCUGUCGAGAAAAGCUUCUAGUUAGAACAUGACCGCCCGUACCGUAAACCGACACAGGUAUGCGGGGAGAGAAUCCUAAGGUGCGCGGGAGAACCCUCGUUAAGGAACUCGGCAAAAUGUACCCGUAACUUCGGGAUAAGGGUAGCCAUCAGGGUGAAGGGACUUGCUCCUGGAGCCUAGUAUGGUCGCAGAGAAGAGGCCCAAGCGACUGUUUACCAUAAACACAGGUGCCUGCUAAAGAGAAAUCUGACGUAUAGGUGCUGACACCUGCCCAGUGCCGGAAGGUUAAGGAAGGAUGUUCGGAUUAGUCCAAAGCAUUUGACCGAAGCCCCGGUGAACGGCGGCCGUAACUAUAACGGUCCUAAGGUAGCGAAAUUCCUUGUCGGGUAAG